rnacentral:rRNA from 1 species
ACCCCAGGUCAGGCGGGACUACCCGCUGAGUUUAAGCAUAUCAAUA